GUGGUAGUUGGUUUAAAAGGUCAGUUGGUUAGAGCAUGGUCCUGACAACACCAAGGUCGCAGGUUCGAUCCCCGUACAGGACA